rnacentral:misc_RNA from 1 species
CGAAUAUCUUUCGUUGGAAGUGAUUUCUGUCAAACAAGCAAUAACUAUGCUGGAAAACUGAAGUCUAAUUUCCUGGGAACCAAAUUCACCGUUUAUGAUAGUCAGCCUCCACACCCGAUGAUGCAAUCCAACUGUAAGGCAGGCAGAAAAAUCCAUUCAGUUCAGGUUUCUCCACUGGUACGUGCUAGAAACUACAAUGUGGCCACCAUUUCUUAUGAGCUCAAUGUCCUCCGAACCAGAGGCCCAAGGAGAAUGCAGUGCACCAUGCAUUCAAUUCCCUUCUCUUCAAUUGAAGUAGGGGGAACUGCCCCUACUCCAACAGAAUUCAUAAGUUCUAACGGCGAGCAAUCUACUCCAUCAUCGUCGUCCAUUUCAAAAUCAAAGGAGUCACUCAUUGAAUUCAGCGCAACUAGCCUUGCUGAAUCAAACGAAUCUAUUUGCAGCAGAAAAGAUCCCUUGAUUUUGAAAAAUAAAUCCCCAAGAUGGCAUGAGCAGCUUCAGUGCUGGUGUCUAAAUUUCAAAGGAC